CCGGCCAAGAUGAUGAUGGAUGAUAUGCAGGGGAUCGUCGAUGCGAUAUCCGCCGGCGCCGGCAUUGCCUGGCUGCCGGAGUGGCUGGUGCGCGAGCGGCUGAUGGCGGG
rnacentral:snoRNA from 1 species